GCGGGGCAGCAGCUCAAAAACGUGAUUUUGGAGUCAUUUCUUAGAUUUUCUUUUCCUCUCUUCUUCUUCCCUCUUCCAUGUCCGAAACCCUAGCUCCCAAAACCUUGAUUUCCUCCACUUUUCUCAACAAAUCAACCAUGGAUCUUGCAUCAAGGAUGGAGAAUAAGAGGAGAUCACCACUUUCUACCGAAUGGAAUUUCGAAAUUUUUGAGGGCAUAACCUGAGAAGGACAAGCACUCCGUUAUAGCACUGUAACCAACCAGGACGUUCGUCCCCUUUUGUCAACCUUUACGAGUCCAGGCACUAAGCGAGAUCACUCAGUUUUGUGAAGCUUUGUUAAGACAUUGUCUUGUUUUUUUUUUGAUUACUCAUUUAAGGUUAAAUGUACAUGACUUCAAUGUUUUUGCAUAUGCCCAAUCUUAGGGCUGGGGCUGUAUAUGUAUAUCUAUAUGACUGAUGCUCACAGUAUAAUUUUGGCCUGUGACUGGUUAUUAUAAUGUAUAUGAUGCAUGUGAUCCUGGCAUAUUAGAGGUA